AUACGGAGGGGGCAAGCGUUGUUCGGAAUUACUGGGCGUAAAGGGCGCGUAGGCGGAUUAUCAAGUCAGAGGUGAAAGCCCUGGGCUCAACCUGGGAACUGCCUUUGAAACUGAUAGUCUUGAGUCCGAGAGAGGAUGGCGGAAUUCCCAGUGUAGAGGUGAAAUUCGUAGAUAUUGGAAAGAACACCAGUGGCGAAGGCGGCCAUCUGGCUCGGUACUGACGCUGAGGCGCGAAAGCGUGGGGAGCAAACAGGAUUAGAUACCCCGGUAGUCC
rnacentral:rRNA from 1 species